GAUGAACGCUAGCGACAGGCUUAACACAUGCAAGUCGAGGGGCAGCGGGGAGUAGCAAUACUUCGCCGGCGACCGGCGCACGGGUGAGUAACACGUGUGCAACCAACCCCGUAGCGGGAGAUAACCCGCGGAAACGUGGACUAACAUCCCAUGAUACGCGAGAGACGCAUGGCUCUCGAUUUAAAAUUCCGGGGGUACGGGACGGGCACGCGCGACAUUAGGUAGUUGGAGGGGUAACGGCCCACCAAGCCGACGAUGUCUAGGGGUUCUGAGAGGAAGGUCCCCCACACUGGAACAGAGACAGGGUCCAGACUCCUACGGGAGGCAGCAGUGUGGCGUAUUGGUCAAUGGGCGAGAGCUUGAACCAGCCCAGUCGCGUGAGGGAAGAAUGGUCUGUGGCCUGUAAACCUCUUUUGUCGGGGAAGAAUAAGGAUGACGAGUCAUUCGAUGCCAGUACUUGACGAAUAAGCAUCGGCUAACUCCGUGCCGGCCGCCGCCGUAA
rnacentral:rRNA from 1 species